rnacentral:rRNA from 1 species
GACGGGGGAUGCGAGCGUUAUCCGGAAUGAUUGGGCGUAAAGGGUCCGCAGGUGGCCCGGUCAGUCCGCUGUCAAAGCCUGGGGCUCAACCCUGGAGAGGCGGCGGAGACCACCGGGCUUGAGUCCGGUAGGGGCAGAGGGAAUUCCCGGUGGAGCGGUGAAAUGCGUAGAGAUCGGGAAGAACACCAGCGGCGAAGGCGAGUCCCUGGACAGGUCCUGACGCUGAGGCACGAAAGCUAGGGGAGCAAACAGG